GGUGCUGUGAAGGCUUGAGGUGAGUAGAAACGUUUAUUCCCAUCAACUCCUGGUUUCCUUCUUCUCCCAUGACCGAGCUUUAAAACAUAACUUGUCUUCCAGUGUAUAAAACUCUCCAGUCAGUGAUUUAAGAGAAAUAAUUUCUGUGCAAUUGACAGAAGUUGUUAUCUGCCUGAGAAAAUGAAACCAGGACAUGAUUCAGCGUGGGAAAGUGGGAAGUGAUUUUGUGGGAACAUUAUCUCCUACAGUAACCAAUUUUGCUGGGGGCUUUGAUUUGCUAAUGAGCAACACUUCCGCAGAAACAUACGUAUUUUCAUCAUAUAACUCCUAAGAGCAGUGCACCUGCCCACUGGGGCAGGCUGGCACAGGCACAUUCUUAUUCUGGAACCUGUGUCCCAAGGGUCAAGCGGGAUGGGUGGAGUGCAUUUCUAAAGCAGCCUGAAGCAGAAAGAGCCAGAGCUGUGUAAUUGUUCAGUCUUUGGAGAGCACCGAAAAGUAGGCUCCGGAAGCAGAGUUUGGCCAUCAAGUAUACAGCAGAGAGAGCACCAGAGGCACGGUCUGAAAGUCCAAAGCAGGUUGUAGCAGCACAGAACUGAAAAUAACAGUCUAGGGGAAGCUUGAUCCUCCCGUCUUGACAAGCAGUCAGCAAGUGAUAUCAGAAAAGGAACAAUUAUCCUUUAAAUGCCAUCACCCAUGGAAAAGAAAUAAGACAUUAACUCCACUGGAUGACCCGACUAUCUUGGGUAUACCACCCCUUCAUGCCAAGCAUCCAAUCUCCAAAUAUUCUCAAAGCAGCCACAAAAUCAUUUCUUUUCUAACGAAGAGGAGCCCAAGAAAUUGAGCUGCAAACAUAGAUAAACAAGCUGAAAACUUGCGUGGGUGAAUGCUGGCAGCUGUGGCAAUAGAAAAGGGCUACUGGAAGCCCAUCAGACUCACAGCAGAUUUCUCAGCAGAAAUCCUUCAAUGCUAGAAGA